CAGCACCUCAAGUGGUCAGGAUGAUUAUUGGGCCUAAAGCAUCCGUAGCCUGCUUUGUUAGUUUUCGGUUAAAUCCAUACGCUCAACAUAUGGGCUGCCGGGAAUACUGCAAAGCUAGGGAGUGGGAGAGGUAGACGGUACUCGGUAGGAAGGGGUAAAAUCCUUUGAUCUAUUGAUGACCACCUGUGGCGAAGGCGGUCUACCAGAACACGUCCGACGGUGAGGGAUGAAAGCUGGGGGAGCAAACCGGAUUAGAUACCCGAGUAGUCC
rnacentral:rRNA from 1 species